UGUAGUUAAAACUUAAUGAACUUUUCAGAUUUUAUAUCCAACUUUUGGUUUGACUUGAUUUAAACAGACUUAAAUCAUCUGUACCCAUCUGUGUGGAAUUUAACUGAAAUACACAAAAUGUGAUGAACGGAGAAUAAAAUAAUCUCUGAACUUAAAAGUCAAAUUUUUUUAUUUUCUGUAAUUAAAGCUAUAAAGCAUGCUGUCACAGUUUGCAAGAGAAGUUGCAAAGGUCCUUGUCUCCGUCUGGACUUGAGAUUCUGAAACCAAUUUACAAAUGGCCUUUUGGAAUUUAAAGCUUGCGUCUAGUUAUGUGUGGCAGGUUACAUAAAAACUUAAGGGUGAAUAAUUUAAGUUGUAUUAACUGAUCACAAAUUGGGUAUACAUUAAAAUUGGGUCUAUUUGUCAUCUGAAGCUGAGGGUGUAUGGAGAUGCUCUUGAUGCUCUUACUGGAAGAGAAAGGUGGCAAAUGCAGAAGAGAAGAGCUCCUUGGAACGAUUUAUCUUUUUCAUGAAAAUGUUGAGUCAUAUGAGAGCCUGAUAGUACUUUUUGCCUACACUGUGACUCAUUUUUAAGUCUACACUGUCAGAAGAGAUGGAUGCCCCAUGCUCGGUUGUGGCCCAGACUGACUGUUUCGACUCUAGAGGAAAAAGUCAUCUGACCUAGACCUUCCCUGAGCGUGGGAGAAGGCGCGCUGAAGGCAAAAUCAUCGAGAGCAGUAUCCUGCCCUGCUUUCCUCUUUCAGAAGGGAGAUGAUUGUAUAAGCUUCCACACUUCAGGAGUGAGCAAGUGACCACACUUGCAAAAUUAUUACGGGUAGAGCUACUUCUGCCUGUAAUUUGCUGUCACUGUGAUGAAAAGCUUUCACUUCUGGAAAUGGAAAAAGCACUGUAAGCCACUAGUGGCAUGGAUUUAAAUGACUUUUCCAUCCCGAGACCAAAUUUGAUUGUAUGCUUCAGACCAACAGAUGCUUCACGAGCCAGCGAGCUCCCAACUGACUUCCGAUUCUGGGGACUUCCUUUUCAAAUGUUACAGUUUGGCCACAGCAAUGAGUGAGUGGAUGGGACCUGCUGCCUACAGCAAGCUCUCCGUCAUCCUGCCCUCCUCUCUCGGGUAUCAGCACUCCUUCUGAAGUCUCUCUCGGCCAACAUCACCGCUCCCUUCUCCAGCACGGGAAGCAGCACAGAAGAUGUAUACCACGAGUCGAAGGCAAAGCCCAGAAAUUCACAGGCACUGCACAGAGAAGCCUGAUUUUAAGAAGUUUCCCUGUCACGCAGGACAGGCUGACCGGGAACCUUUUGACACAAAUAGUCAAACCACAGGAACAGACCGUGGCUUAAGGUAACUAAGCCCUUCAGGUUUCAACAUCUAGGAGAAUGCUUCUCCCAGAACACAUCGAAGCAGUCUACAGAGGAUGUUUGGUUUUUCCCGAGCGGAGGAGGAUGAACCUCAAAUAAAUUGUUUGUAUUUGCAAUGACCCUUAUACACAAUCAAGAAAUUAAAACUGAGUAAAAAAUUUUGUGCCAAAUACUGAAAGGAGAUUUGUAAGUGAAACCGAUUUCAAACAAAAAUAAAUUUAUUUAAAAUCUUA